UGUUCCUCUGCAGCUGACUACUUACUCACGUUUAUGUCUGCUGUCUCCAUCAACGCACAUUAUUCUCACUAGGCAGUAUCGGAGGAGGGCCCUACCACAAAUGCUGGCAUAUAGUGACAUGAGUACCAAAAGUGUUUAUAUUUUAAUGUAAGACUGCAGGCCGCUCCUGGAUACCUCAGGCUCUUGUUUUGAAAUUUAAUCAGUUUAGAGUCGUUCCAUUAACGUAAAUAUUACCCUGACAUUUGACCCUUACUUCCUAGGUACAACAGGAAACAGAUGAAAACUGGGGGCCGGUCUGGUUCAGGCUAGAAUUUGCCCUCAGCUGUGGGUUUGGCACCAGCUGAGCUUGACAACGUGGAAUGAAGACAAAAGCAGAGCAGACCAGGGUGCAUGUGAGGUUAUUCUUCUGGAUACAUGUCGAGCUGUUACAGUCAUGUGAAAGGAGCAGAGUUGAGGGCAGCAGGACAGAAAAAGUAACGCCAGAUGUGGCUGUCAGGAUGAGUGAUUCCAGGCCUUUCCUCACCUGAGAUCUGAGCAGAAAGCGACCAGCCUCGCUCCAAGACACAGCUAGCAGCCCUGCACACACAUCAUAAAGGCAUCAUGAGAUGCCUCAAGUAGCUUAAAAUAUUGUUUCUCUGCUAGAAGGUGUUUUUAAAAGCGGUAUGUAAGAUCAAAUAAAUAUGUAUA